UACGGGGGGGGGCAAGCGUUGUUCGGAAUUACUGGGCGUAAAGGGUCUGUAGGUGGCCAAUUAAGUCAGACGUGAAAUCCCUCAGCUUAACUGGGGAACUGCGUCUGAGACUGGAUGGCUCGAGUGCAGGAGAGGAAUGCGGAAUUCCAGGUGUAGCGGUGAAAUGCGUAGAUAUCUGGAGGAACACCGGUGGCGAAGGCGGCAUUCUGGACUGCAACUGACACUGAAAGACGAAAGCCAGGGGAGCAAACGGG
rnacentral:rRNA from 1 species